ensembl:lncRNA
GUUCUUCAAACUCAAGGGAAACCAUCACGGGGCAAACCCGAGUCUAUAUAAAAAUGAUGGUCAAGAAUUAUUAAUGUGGGCGGGAGUUAUUUGGAAAAGGAAAAUUGUCUUUGGAAAAUUUCGCCACAAGAGGGCGCAAAAAAACGACGAAAUAAUACAUCUCCUAAUCGCCAAUGGAAUGUUCUGAAAACGCGUUUUGGGCUAUAACUCCCACACCGAACCUCCCACAGUCAAAACCUUUGUAUCCACAGAUUCACUGGAGUCAGCUGCAUCUUUUGGCAUACGCCGUUUCUCAGUUUCGAACACAUGCUUCGCGUUGUGCCGGCGAAAUGCACACUUCUUGGACCCCUGCAUAACUGCUUGCAGUUCUAGUUAGGGGUCCAAGCCAACAGGUUGGAUCCCUAUUGUUUUUGUAAGGAUUUUUAUUAUUAUUAUACUACCUCCCCGUGAAAGUGGAACCACAGCCCAAACCGUAAAUGGUGCCGACAUGCCAAUUGCAUGACUAGAUCCAGGUCCGGCACCGCUACUCAGAUAACAAAAUCCAGACACGCCGGCCACUAGGUGGCGCUAUACCAAGGAAAGACGCGUUUGGGGCUAUAACUCCCACACCGAACCUCCCACAUUCAAAACCUUGUACACACAUAUUCACUGGAGUCUGCUGCAUCUUUUGGCAUAGGCCACGCCCAUUUGCGUCUAGAAUUUUUUUUCGCAAAAUCGCGAAAACCGCAAAACUGUUUUUUCCCUACUCCUCCCACAUUUCUUGACCAAUCGACACCAAACUUUGCACACGACAUCUUCAGACGCACACGCAAAGAGUGCAUGAAACACUUUUUUGAUCCGUCCUUCGAUAACGAAACGGUAGCGUUUUGAAUAUUGGUUUAUUAGCUAAAUUAGACGUGGAAUAUCAAAAAUCCAAA